GCCAGUGUGGUGUAGUGGUCUGCAUGUUGGACUAUGACUCUAGAGAUCAGGGUUUGAUUCCCAGCUUAGCCA